ACUUUACCAAGUUGUUCCAACUUCUGUUAUUGACCCUUUGCUUAAUGAAUUGUUUGAUGAUGAUAAAAUGGUAAUUUUCUAUUUCUAUUAUUCAUUCUUUAAUUCUAUUACAUAUGUUAGCUGGUACUCUGUGAAUAACUUUUUUUUUCUUUUUCAACGUAGGGGUGAGGAGUGUGUGUGUGUGUGUGUGUGUGUGUGUGUGUGUGUGUGUGUGUGUUGGCUUUUUGUGACUUAAAGACAAGACCCAAAAGUUUAUAUGAAUAAAUCCCACAGUACUGACCAUAUCCUGCUUAAAAUGCCCCACAUGUGGUUAGAUGCUUUCCUUUAUGACUGGUCUUUGAUGUGGAUCUCAAGCCUUCCAAGAUCUCUGAAUGAGCCAAUUCCACAGGUGUAUGUUUCUUCCUGGCUCUCCAAGCACAAGAACACCAGCAAUAUUGUAUGAGGAAUUUAGGCAAUGUACACAGGAGUCCAAAAAGGGAAUACUCUUGUAAACUAUACACAUAAAAGUCCUUGUUAGGGGGUGAGGUUAACACACUCGGGGAUGGAAAUAAGGCAGGAAAUAUUCAGGGCCAGGUUGGAAUAGUGUAGUUAUUUGGGAUACCUUACAAACUGUCAAGUUGAUAAAAUUUAACUCUUAGAGCACACACUGAGUAGAACAAGAAAAAUAAAGAGAAAUAUUAAUAAACAAGAAAUGAAAGUGUCAAGGUAUAUCAGAGACAGGUAGGAAAGGGAGCUUCCUUGUUUACUUCAGAACUCUCUGAAUUUAUAGUGGAUUUAACACAGAUUCACCUCCCCUCAACAGGGAGCUUAGCGGCCUCUCUGUGUGGAAGACCAGACUGGCUUAAUGGAACCAAAUGUCUGAAUGGGGCAGCCUCCGUCAUAGGAAAUGCUGUCCACGACACUCGCACCUCCUUGUCCGGUCUCUGCGGCUCAUUUCCUGUGGGUGCUGGUCUCACGUGGCAUCAGCAACAAAGCUGAGACGUAAUCUUUCUAUUUGUACCUGGCCAGGAAGUUCCUCUUCCAGAAGGCCUUCCCUAACCACCUUCUGCUGCUUCCUUCUUAUUUUAUCACUCACGGUUGAACACUGCAACCAUUGGAGCACUUGUUUGUCUCUUCCACUAGAUCAGGGCCUUGCAGAUGACAUCCAGAGGGUCAAAUCUAGCCCACUGCCUUUUUCAUAAAUAAAGUUUUAUUGGAACAUGCCACAAUCACUUGUUUAUAUAUUGUUUAUGACUUCUCUUGAGCUGUAGCAGUAGAAUUGAAUAGUUGGAUAGGAGACUCCGUGGCCUGUAAAGCCUAAACUAUUUGUUAACUGUCUCUUUUUAGAAAAAGUUUGCUGACUCCUAUACUAGACUAUGAGCUUUGUUAGCGCAGAGAGCUUGGCCUUCAUUUCUGAAUCUGCAGUAGCCAGCACCACAGGAGCAGGGUCAUUUUGGGUAAAGCUAACAUCUGCUAUCAUUGCAACAGCAUCAUUUAAGCUUAGCCUGGGGUAGAUUCU
rnacentral:lncRNA from 10 species